rnacentral:rRNA from 1 species
UAGGGAAUCUUCGGCAAUGGACGAAAGUCUGACCGAGCAACGCCGCGUGAGUGAAGAAGGUUUUCGGAUCGUAAAACUCUGUUGUUAGAGAAGAACAAGGACGUUAGUAACUGAACGUCCCCUGACGGUAUCUAACCAGAAAGCCACGGCUAACUACGUGCCAGCAGCCGCGGUAAUACGUAGGUGGCAAGCGUUGUCCGGAUUUAUUGGGCGUAAAGCGAGCGCAGGCGGUUUCUUAAGUCUGAUGUGAAAGCCCCCGGCUCAACCGGGGAGGGUCAUUGGAAACUUGGAGACUUGAGUGGAGAAGAGGAGAGUGGAAUUCCAUGUGUAGCGGUGAAAUGCGUAGAUAUAUGGAGGAACACCAGUGGCGAAGGCGGCUCUCUGGUCUGUAACUGACGCUGAGGCUCGAAAGCGUGGGGAGCAAACAGG